GCGAACGCUGGCGGCAGGCCUAACACAUGCAAGUCGCACGAACCUUUCGGGGUUAGUGGCGGACGGGUGAGUAACACGUGGGAACGUGCCUUUAGGUUCGGAAUAACUCAGGGAAACUUGUGCUAAUACCGAAUGUGCCCUUCGGGGGAAAGAUUAAUCGCCUUUAGAGCGGCCCGCGUCUGAUUAGCUAGUUGGUUGAGGUAAUGGCUCACCAAGGCGACGAUCAGUAGCUGGUCUGAGAGGAUGAUCAGCCACAUUGGGACUGAGACACGGCCCAAACUCCUACGGGAGGCAGCAGUGGGGAAUCUUGCGCAAUGGGCGAAAGCCUGACGCAGCCAUGCCGCGUGAAUGAUGAAGGUCUUAGGAUUGUAAAAUUCUUUCACCGGGGACGAUAAUGACGGUACCCGGAGAAGAAGCCCCGGCUAACUUCGUG
rnacentral:rRNA from 1 species